rnacentral:rRNA from 1 species
AUUGCACGCUGGCGGCAGGCCUAACACAUGCAAGUCGAACGAGUGGCGGACGGGUGAGUAAUGUCUGGGAAACUGCCUGAUGGAGGGGGAUAACUACUGGAAACGGUAGCUAAUACCGCAUACCAUCGUAUGUGCCCAGAUGGGAUAAGCGAGUAGGUGGGGGAAAGGCUCACCGAGGCGACGAUCCCUAGCUGGUCUGAGAGGAUGACGAGCUGCACUGGAACUGAGACACGGUCCAGAAUCCUACGAGAGGCAGCAGGGGGGAAUAUUGUACAGAGGGAGCAGGCCUGAUGCAGCAAUGCCGCGUGUAUGAAGAAGGCCUUCGGAUUGUACAGUACUUUAAGCGGGGAAGCGGUACCCGCAGAAGAAGCACCGGCUAAAUCCGUGCAAGCAGCAGCGGUAAUAC